rnacentral:rRNA from 1 species
GCAGCCGCGGUAAUACGGAGGAUCCAAGCGUUAUCCGGAUUUAUUGGGUUUAAAGGGUGCGUAGGCGGAUUAGUAAGUUAGAGGUGAAAGCUCGGGGCUCAACUCCGGAACUGCCUCUGAUACUGCUGAUCUAGAGAGUAGAUGCGGUAGGCGGAAUGUAUGGUGUAGCGGUGAAAUGCUUAGAGAUCAUACAGAACACCGAUUGCGAAGGCAGCUUACCAAACUAUAUCUGACGUUGAGGCACGAAAGCGUGGGGAGCAAACAGGAUUAGAUACCCC